GAUUCCUUAUGUAAGGAAUUACAAAAGAAAUUUUUUCAACAAAGAUGUGAAUUAGGAAGGAUUGGUCGACGAAAUAUGAACCGGUGACUGAAUCAUGAUAUU